rnacentral:rRNA from 1 species
AACGAACGCUGGCGGCAUGCCUAACACAUGCAAGUCGAACGAUCCCUUCGGGGAUAGUGGCGCACGGGUGCGUAACGCGUGGGAACCUGCCCUUAGGUUCGGAAUAACUCAGAGAAAUUUGAGCUAAUACCGGAUAAUGUCUUCGGACCAAAGAUUUAUCGCCUUUGGAUGGGCCCGCGUUGGAUUAGCUAGUUGGUGGGGUAAAGGCCUACCAAGGCGACGAUCCAUAGCUGGUCUGAGAGGAUGAUCAGCCACACUGGGACUGAGACACGGCCCAGACUCCUACGGGAGGCAGCAGUGGGGAAUAUUGGACAAUGGGCGAAAGCCUGAUCCAGCAAUGCCGCGUGAGUGAUGAAGGCCUUAGGGUUGUAAAGCUCUUUUACCCGGGAUGAUAAUGACAGUACCGGGAGAAUAAGCCCUGGCUAACUCCGU